rnacentral:rRNA from 1 species
CGGUAACAGCUCAAAUUUGAAAGCUGCCAACAGGCCGCGUUGUAAUUUGUAGAAGCUGCUUUGGGUGUCGGCCCGGUCUAAGUUCCUUGGAACAGGACGUCAUAGAGGGUGAGAGCCCCGUCUGGUUGGAUACCGAUCCUCUGUAAAGCUCCUUCGAC